rnacentral:rRNA from 1 species
CCAUACGGCUACUAAUAAUUUACAUAUCCAUAGGUCUCGACCAAAUCUUGUGCCAGCAGUCGCGGUAAGACAAGGGAGACGAGUGUUAUUCAUCUUUAACAGGUAUAUAGGGUACCUAGACGGUGUGCAAUGGCUUAAAUAAGUACCUGGUACACUUGAGUUUGAUAUGUGAGAGGAAUAUGUCGGAAUUGUUGGAGGAAAGAUGAAAUUUGUUAAUACCAAUAGGACUGAUAACGGCGAAGGCAAACCUCUAUGUACAUGUACUUGCUAUUUCUGUUUUUAUUAUAGCAAAAUAGCAAUGUACUAUAACUGACGUUGAGGGACGAAGGCUCAGAGAGUGAAGAGGAUUAGAUACCCCCACUUACCGCUUCG